rnacentral:lncRNA from 1 species
AUGACCGAUUUGCAUCAGCAAACAACACAGUCAUCGGGAAUAACCGUAGAUCCGGCCACCACACGAAUUCGACGGUGCAGCUGCCGUGACCCAUCAACUCCUUCCAUCAUGCUCAGCUACCACCAACAGCCGUCCUCAAACGCCGCCUCCAUUGAAGGUCCCUUCGUCCAAACCGAAGCUUCGAUCUCGCGCAUUGUGGCCAUCGCCGAUCUACCACCUCCCAACGCUUCGUCUCCGCCGCCAACAAAAGGGAAAUCACACAGUAUGUUCAUAAUAUGA